UGAAAUUUACAUAGUAAUUUGUUUCGUCUACUGAAGAUUAUGACGAGAGUACACCACUUUGAAUAUUUUAUAUAUCGUGUCAUAUACAUUCUGUGGGUUUCUGAACCUUUAAAUUUGUCACAAACAUAUGGAAAUCCGCAGUUUACUAAUGACAUUAGUUCGAUUACUGUUUGUUACUAUUAUAGUUUUCGAUGAAUGAAUGUGCAUCUUAGGAAUCACGCGUAAUUCGUGAAUUUGCCCGCGAAGCUAGAACUUCUGACAAAGUGUACGUACUGCGAAUUCGAAGAGGUAGAAAUGCGUUCAUAGUAUUUGGCAGGUGAAGCAAAUCUUUGCUUAAAUAUUAGAAAUAGGUUCUUUAUAUUAAGUUUUCCUAUAUAAUUAACGCGUAAUUAUACUUGUAACACCGUGAGCGUAAACGAGUAAACCGUAACACGUACAAGCUCUAUGAAAUAAUACCGUAACAGGAAGCUACAAUAUUCGCUGAGUAACCAAAAAACCGAAGAGGGUAGUUUUAUGACACUUCCCUCGAGACCGCCUACAAAACCGUACAGUUUCAAGAACAUUAGAAUUUUUGAGUUAUUAAUUAUGUCUUGUCCGAAAUUCAUAAAUAUGAAUAGCUAGCAUAAACUAUAUUUCAAUUAAAAUGUAUCUAUGACUUACGAUCUUUGGCAUAUUGUUGAAAUGUUAAUAUGAGAGAUAAGAUUAUUAGUCUAAUUUUAAACAUAAAAUUAUCGUUUUGACUUUAAGCCAGAAUGUAAUUAGUUUGUCUUUAAGCAUCGGUACAUAUUGUUUGUCUACCGAACGGUGUUGAUCGAUAGUUUUUUCUUUUUUAAUCGACGUUCGAUUGACGUGGAUGAAUCGCCCAAAGGAUACCAACGAAUUCAUAUAAAGAGGAAUUAAUCGAAACGGUCGCACGAACGCUCGAAAGAUUAACCGCAAAGUAUGGUUCCACGGUUCCUGUCGAUCGUUUCGGUACACGCAGAUUGAUAAUUCGUAAACAGAAGACGAUGUAAUGUUGAACACAAGAGGCACAGGUGUUUGAAAUUUACUCGACAAAGGCCCAAAACACACUUUGCAUAAAAGAGAAGAAUACUGAAAUAAGAAUGGAGCAUAUCACUGUGUCCUGAGUAAUUAUUCCGCCGGUCGUUUCAAUAGAACGACAGCCUACGGCACAAGAGAAUUAUCAGAACUUACCAAAUACUGUGUGUCAUUCAAAAACCGUAUGAAAAUGUGCUAAAUGUACUUUACACCGAUAUCCGAGAUUUCCAUCGAAUCGCAAGACACGACAUAAAUAUCCGUCAACUACGUUUCACAAAUUACUCUACUCCUCCUUCGUACCUAAUGCGUUCGUCUUCUUGUUUUCGCCAAUGUUCGCGGAGGAAGUCGCGCGCUAUACUGAGAUUACAUGUACACAAAUGGUUGACCGUUUGCACUGCUUACGUUCAAAGUGAACGAAACCUCGCGUAUAGUGGAUGUUUAUGCAUACAAAGUGAAAGAUAGAGGAGAAAGACAAGAGACGAGAAAGACGAUCGUUAAGCCGGAAUAACGAGCUUAGAGCGAGUGCCGAGACGAUCUACGUAGAACGUUCGCCGCCGCAGCUGCAUUUACUGCCGGUUUCGAAAAUCAUCGCACCCUGUUGAUAGGCAAUGACCGGCGAUCGGGAAUUUUCCGACUGAAAAUAUGGCUUCUUCGAUAACGAUAUCUGCAUAAUACACUUUCAGACCGUUUCCAUACACAGGAAGAACAUAGUACGACGGGGGAGAGGGAAGAGAAACGGUGCGUGCGAGGAGGAAAAAUGAUUCUGUCGUCUACAGUCUAGGAUAGUGUGCGUAUCUUUUUUGACAUUUAUUUUCGCGAUUUAUUGCUGUUACGACAAGUAAAGAAACCCUAAUUGAUUCUCCGUGUAGGAAGAUAUUGUUUAAUGGAAUAUAAUUGAUCUUUCUUCGAUAAAUAUUACCGCCCACAAACACGUACUCGUCCACUUUGGUCAAUUUGUAAUAACGUUAUCUGAAAUUGUAUAGAGGUAAAUGUGCCAACGAGGCAUUGGUAUAAUGGCAAAAAGCCACUUUCUGUCUUUCUAUGAAAUUAGUAGAUUAUAAAUUGAAAUCAACCGUUGGAAGACAGCAGUGAUUUAUUUUGCUAUCUAUUUAAUAUUAGCGACUGCGUUAACACCGACUUAUAAUCCAUAAAUUAUUGGCUCUAACGAUAAACCGCUUAUAGAUCGGCAAAGUAGUUCGACAAGGAUCGGCGAUCGAAAAUGCUAAUUUUAUCAUUGAACGCUGGUUCUCAACGAGUAAUUCGGUCGCGUCAUGAUAUUCUAUCGCACGUAGGUAUAAUAAUUAUAAAAGAUGAAAUCCUUGUUGAUUGGCCAUUUAGCCAGACUUCGUAAUUAAAAUACAGCUUGACAAAAAUAAACAGUUAACUUUCGGAUCUUUUUGUUUCGAAUGCCAAUAUAUGUAUGUGUAAUACUUAAACCGCGGUAUUUGCGCGUUUAUGUGAAGCGCAAAUAUGCAAAAAUGCAUAAUGAGCUCGUACACGGACGCUAAAUAUAAAAAUAUCAAAAGCGAAACACGGCCAAUUCAGUGGGAAUUCCUUACGCGUGUUUGAAAAAAUAUGAAAUUGCGAUAACCAAUUGCGGCAAUUUAUUUUUAGAUAAUACACGUAACAUACGGUGUAAUUAAAACGGAUGAACGGUAAAAAUGUUCGUCUAAACAAGCGGCGAUUUAUUUUCGUUUAGCAUAUCCAAUAUAGGAUGGAAUAUUAAAUAGCAUUAAAAUAAAUAAAUACUAGUAAUGCUUUUAAUUGAAACAAAUGACAGUAAUUUAUUUUUAUACUUAAUAUAUGUAACGCACGAUGUAGCAAUAUUAAAAUAGAUAAAUGUUAAAAAUCUUCGACUAAGAAAGAGUCACGUCGAUUUAUGUUUAUUCAAAGCGUAUAUGUAACGUGGCCACGUUAAAAUACGAUAAAUAAAUGUUAAAAAUCCGCAAGAGAAAAUAACCGUGGCGAUUGCUUGGAGAAUAAUUUGCGAUCGACGGGUUCGGUAUUCGUCGUAAUGCACGUAGUACACGUAAAGCACACUAUGGCCACGCGACUCGUCGAAACGAUCAAAUCGCGAGUACGCGUCUAUAUCCCGGACAUUUUUGAUCUCGUGGGGAUGUUAUAGGGUGCGACAUGGUGAAUCAGCAAUAGGGGGCAAUGAAAAAAGGAAGACGUGGAAGUAGCGAGACUCGACCGAAGGAAUACGAUCGAAGGCAAACAGGAACGCGAAAUAAAAUUACGGCUGUGACGUCGUUUAAACGAAUUUACGAUAUCCUCGGAUACGUAUUAGGAAACUCAUCGGCCGUCUCGCUAUCUUUGCAUCGUACGAAAGGGCGUAGCGACCGGCUUGCGUUUUCAAUCGAUACAAACUCUAACAAACCGUCAUAAAUAGGCAGAUUGCGAAGACGUGAAAUUAUCAACGGGGCAAAGUGAACGCGAGAAAGACAAAUGGAGGAAGAAAGGAAGAGAAGUAAAGGAAAGAAAAGAAACCGGGGAGCAAAUGUAGAGAAGACAAAAAGAAGGGAGAGCGGAGAGAAACUGCUUUCUCCGUUACGGCGAGACGCCUUCGUAGACAGACAAAUUGCAAAAAUAAGAAUUAUUAACGGAAAGAGAAAUGAAAUCACUGGGAAAAAUAAAAAGGAAAAGGAGAAAUGGGAGAAGAUAAAGGGGGAGGAAAAGGGAGAAUUGUGUGUGUGUGUGUGUGUGAGAGAGAGAGAGAGAGAUAGAGGCAAAGGAUAGAAAAGGCGAGGAAAAGAAAGAACAGAGAAACUGCCUUCUACGCUACGGCGAGACAUCUCGGUAGACAGGAAAAUUGCAAAAAUAAGAAUUAUUAAAAAGAAAGAGAAAUGAAAUAAUUAGGAAGAAGAAAAAAAAAGAGAAAUGGAAGAAGAAAAAAACGAGGAAGAAAGAAAGAGAGCGAGCGAGCGAGAGGCGAAGGACGGAAAAGGCGAGGAAAAGGAAGAGCGGAGAGUGAGUUCGAAGGAGAAACUGCCUUCUCGGUUACGGCGAGUCUGGCGAUCGAGUAAUCGCAUUAUACCUGGUAAUUACAAGACCGCUCGCAGUGCUACGAGACAAGCCUGUAGCUCGAGCAAAGUACCGAGCAGGGUUAUGCAGAUUGCUUUAUAACCUUGUUACCGAUCUAUUAACCUCGCGAGCUUGAUACCGGAAACUGUUUUUCUUCCGAACCGUUAUCAAAAACGUCUCGUUCCUGCCAAACAUUCAGAAAUACCACGCUCCAAUCCGAAAGAAUAUCGGCUAGAACGUCGGACAGCACGAUCAACAUUUCUUCCUUAUGUUUUAAUUUGAAUCGUUAUCGUCGUAGCCGACGAAGUAAAAUGUCAAAGCGGAGAACGAAGAUUUCGCAACCGUGCGGUCGAAUCUAAAGCCAAACCUGCGUGAGACACACGGAAAUGAGGGUUGAGCCUGGAGUGUGAAUCGAAACCGAGCUUUAAACUCGACUGGAGCCUCGAUUAGAAUGCUACGCGACCCCGAGCAAUCGCGAGAAACAGACGAGACAAACGGAAAUUUAACCAGAAAAAGGAAAAGCCGUGCACUCGUCUUCUUUUAUCGAAAGAGUAGAAAAGGGAGGAACGCGAAUCGAACGCGAAUCCGAUCUUUUCUCUCGUCAUUGAUCGUCGUUCGGAGCAGAGGUAGGGCGUCGACGAUCAAAAUUCUUUCUCGUCCUUCUCCUCCUUCUCCUGUUCGUUCAUCGAUCCACUGGUUCGCGAUCGUCGCUCCGCUUUUAUCUAAACUUUCGUCAAUCUAAACUCUCGCGGAACGAACAACGCGUCGAUCGUCGUUAUCGUUCGCGAUCAGUUGCCACUCUGUUUUCGUCGAAAUCUUCGAAAAUCUAAGCGUUUGUACCGUAAAAGGAACGACUACGCUUGUGCAUAACAACUACGUUACGUUAAUGACGUAUUUGUGCUACUGAACAUUUUUCACCGUGUUGAUGACAGCCUCUGUGUUAUAUCUAUUCAUCGUUUAAUCGUUCUUAUCGAUAAUGACUCCAUUUUCUAACACGAUGCUUUCUUUUCGAACUGUCGUUCCUCCGAGCUUUCUUUUCUCCUCCACUGCAUGCACAGAGAAACAAAAACGAAAACGAAACUGAAAAGGCAAACGAUCGAGAGAAACGCGAAAGGGACUAUAUGGAAGAAUAUAUCGAUGUCUCGCUGCAAAAAUACCGUAUGCCCGCUUCCCGUCGAAUUUGAGCUUUCACACGCAGGAAAAUAGUUCCUCGUCGGUUUCUUUGCGCUGUACAGAAAUCGCAUUUACAUCUACGUGGUAAACAUUUUUGUUCAUUACACUUACUGUCAUCAUCGUGUUUCGUCUUUUCGUCAUUUUCUAUUCGGCAAAGGAAUCGCGACAUUGUACAAUUUGCAACCAAUUUUACAAUAUCAUCGACGAGAACAAAUGCAACGACGCAGAGAGUAUCCGUUUAACUUAUUUUUCUGGAAAAUGCCAGAGAUGGACGCGCGAUAGUUACGCCGCGAGCCAUCGAUAUUAUGGAAAACGAUGAGCGAAAUUUCUUACCUAUGGCGUCGAAGAUGGAUCGGUAGGACAAAGUCGAUCGAACGUGCGAGCGGACGAUGGAGAAGUCGGCCCCUCGGAAUUGACGAAUCGCUGGUGAACGAGACGCGGAGCCGGUUAGCGUGGAGUAGCCGUGUUUCCAGGUGGAAGCGUCGCGGCCGAUUGAGAGCGACGAUGGUGGCGAGGGUGCAUCUCACCCCGAUUUUUCCGGCUCGGGGCUCGGUCGCACUCUCUGCCCACCGUCGUCCGCGUUCGCUUUCGCGUUCGCGUUCGCGAUCGCGGCCACGUCCACGUUCGCGCCUCUGCCACUUCUUUACCCGUCACCUCUCUUCUCGAUCCUCGAAGAUCCAAAGUCCUUUCGGUCGGACGCGAAAGCGCAUGGUCCACGGUGCCUCCGGAAGCCCCCACCGUUCUCCUUCGCUCCCGCCCCUUUAACGCUCCUCUUCGCCCUGUUUCGAACGCUUCCGCGUUAACCCUGUCCCUACCCACGCACCUCAUUCAUCCCUCCUUCGAAAGCUACGGUUCUCCUCGCCACCGUCGCUUCUCCGACUCGUCGUUCCAUCCUUUCUUCAUCCACUUUUUAAUACUAGUUAUCCUACUAUUCAUUUGCGGUAGUUUAGUCUUUUUCUUUUCAUUUCGUUUUUUCUUUUUUUUCGGUAUCUUACCUUCGAUCGUCGUAUCCUUCUUCGUUCUCUAAUCGUACUGGUUGCUAUUUCCUUACCUUUGCUUUUUUCCUUUCCUCUCCGUUAUUCUUUUUCUUCCUUCUUUUGCGUAUAUUUUACCCAUUGCGUUAUCUUUCUUCGCUUUUUAAUUACGCCAGUUAUCAUAUAGCGUUUCUUAGGUGUUCUUAUUCUUCUCAUUCCAUUCUUCCGAGUACCUCGAUGACUUAUGUUUCUUUUCGUGCUCAUCGAUCGCGAUCCGAUUCCACCUACGCACACCCUUGCUCCGUUUCUAAACCUACGUACCAAGUAUAUGAAUAUGCGCGUGCACGUGUCGGUGGUUGUCGUUCGCUGGAAAAUCGCCUUAACGCGUCGAUCCGAAGUAAAACCGAAAUCGCGUAGCCACCGAGAGCUUUUUCUUUCUUCUUAACACGUUACGCGUUGGCGUCAUCCGCCUCUGCCAGUCACUGUACGGUCAUCUGCCAUCAGCACCCUCGACGCGUUAAACUGGUAAGCCUCUAAGCCAUCGUUCCAGGGAAAUAUGCCUUCUGAUGAAAUGUCCUUCCGAAGAAUGAAACAUUCAAAGACCAAGAUUCUGUUGGGUCGGCAACUAAGUGAUCGCGGACUUUGUCAUUAGGUGGUAUUGACAAAAUCCGCAAUCGUUUAAUUGCCAACCCAAUAUCGUACAUACGCACAAUGUGUAUACGCUAAAGGCGCAUUAUAUUUGACUAUUUAGCCCUAUCGAGUUUAUCAGAACGCGUAUUCUUACGAGCAGACUGCGAAUGUUCGUGCGAUUUCACAUUUUUACGAAUACGUAUAACUAAAGAAACGAAACAGCGCAAGAUGGGCUUGUCUCUGCCCUCGAAUCUACCCUGUGUAUUUUAUAUACUUUCUGUGUUCAAGUUCGCGGAGAAAUCCGCAGUCUAUUUACGAGUGUGUGCGUUUCAGUUUUCAGAUGCUCGGUCCGUCCGAACGAUAAUUUGUCAAGCCGCCGUAAUUCGUGUAAUUGUUCGGCGCGGUUUCAACGAUUAACGCGAAAGAAGAGAAAGCUGGACAUGGGAAAAAAAACAAGAGAGAAAAGUUGUGAUAUUAGCGUAUUAAUGGUGGUGACUGGAAAUAAAGGCAGACGGCGAGAAACUCGUAAUGAGAAGAAUCGAAGGCGUCGAGGGGGAAAGACGAGGUAUUCGCCGGGAGAACGCUAUUAAGAUUAAGAUGCAAGGGGUGUGAUAGAGGAAUGGAAAAGCGGAUAGUGGACGAUGGGAAUGCGGGCCGAGGUCGAAAGGAACGCGAAGCCUUCGUAGAAUUCUCGAUACGUGAACGCGUAGAAGCGUCGCUUUAUUAAACCGGCUUUUAUCACGUUCCAGAAACGGAGUCUCCAGUCUUUUUUCAGCCACGCGAGGCUCCAGAAAACGCGAUCGAUCGUUUUCUUGCGCGGUGGCGCUCGUGACACUCGGCUGAAAAAUUCGUCCGUAUAGCCGUGAAAUCGCGAAUGCGCGAAGCACAGAUGGAAGAAGAUCAAACUCGUGCUCGUUUCGUAUAAAUUUAUAACAAGCUUUAGUAUAAACGAGUAAUCUGUUCGUAAACUCGUUUACAACGAUCGAACAAGCAUUUUGGAGCCUUUCGUGGAGCUACGUCUUCGUCAAAGAAAGAACGAGGAACGUUUUUUGUCCCAAGUAAGAGGCGUCAAUUUCUAAAGAAAUUUCGUCCACGUUGAAGCAACGCGAUUAGCAGGCAGAUAUUUGCGCUUUGUUCCAACUUCGAAGCAUCGUGUGUUCCCAGCGACCAGCGAUACGCCGAACAUUUGUUUCCGUCGCAGGGUGUUGUGGCGCGUGAUUUCCACUAUUCUUCGAUCCUCACCACCUCGAAUGGAAACAGGCAACGAGCAACGCCUUCCGUUGAACCGGCAACGGAGACGCGAACGAACACGGAGGAGGAACGUUAGAGAUGGAACAGCAACGUCGACGGAAAGUUGCUCGUUGUUGCUCGAGCGAAGGCGCAGCUUACGAAAGGUGGCGAGACUCGGUCGUUUGAUAGCAACGGUGAACGACACCGAUUAAAGUGGCGUAGCUACCGUGCGAAUCGCGCCUCCCGUGUUACCACCUGUGGAGCCGAACGAGAAAGCGAUAUAGAAAUUCCAAGCAGGAAAGCGAGUUCACUUGUUGAUUUUAGGAAACUCUAGGGAAAACGCGCACCAGCUGCAACUUGUUGCUAAACCGGCACGCUUGCACGAGCAACUCGUUCGAUCUGCUGCUGCUGCUUCUCGGUCAAUUCCUAUUCGUCUCGACUGGUUCGCACGGUUGCUCGAUUGGAUCGUCGACAACGGCCAAAGACAUUUCGCACAGAUAGAACGAGAUAGAAAGCCUGUCGGCGACAGACGCCCCUCUAUCUCCCUAUUCCUAUCUGCUGUGCGUAAUUAAUUCAAGAGGAACGGAUAGCGACACCAAUAGAAGGCAGCGAUACCGACGAUCGUCUUUUACACGGGUUCUUCGUUUUUCCCUUUAGCCUGUUCGUCGAUCGUUUUCGUCGGACCAGCGGUUCUUAACGUUUUGUUUACCACCGGAGUAUUCUCACGAAGAGGGCACGCGGUUGUGUCGAAAAAUUCGGAGUUGGUUUUUACACUUUUUUUAAAGAUCGUAAGACGGUGUGACGGAAAUGGUAUUCUGAAGUGCUGAAAAGUGGCAAUGUUUUAUAACGCUGAAUACGAAUGCGUGCUUUUAUCUUAGGGAAAAAUUAACUGAAGACAUUACGCGCUUCUCUAGAAACUACGUCUCUCGACGUUGCAGCCACUAAAUUUUCCAAACUCUGCAUUCGAUCAACUUGAAAUUUUCGCACGCUAUUCCGCUUAACGUUACGUAGAACGUGGCGUGAUAUUAAUCCGUGGAAUUUGUAUAAAUGUUUCGAAGGUGGUUUUCUUCAGCGGGAAGUGAAAUAUCGUCGCUAACGAGCCGUCAUUUUCCUAUUUUUCAAAAUUAAGGAAGAAUAAAGUACACUACGUCGAAGAUGAUCUUACUUUUUUGUAUAAGGUCGCACAAAAAUGUCUCGCUUUUUAAGAUUCGGUUAUAUUUAACGCUGAAUGCGAGCAAACGAGGUUCCACCGGAUUUGGAGCCAGGCAAUGUCGUCAGCCACUUUGCUAUUUUGUAAUUUUAUGUAAGAACAAAAAUACCAACAUAGAGUUUAAAGCAUCCUAUAAAAAUCCUUUAUCAAGCGCUCAUACGCUUUCUACGCGGAUUGCGAAUUUUUAUUUCGCGGUCUAGUCGUUACAGUGGUAUAAAAAUUUAAAAAAGUUGCGUAUGACGUAUAUAAUAAUAAUUCGUAAAAGAGUCCCAUGGUAAAUGCAUCUAGCGCGAGAAAGGUCGCGAGUCCGCAUCAGACCAACUGUACGGUCGUCUCGUGCUUGCUCGUUUCUUCUUUUCCAAACGCUCUCUCGUUCGUCUUCGCAAUCUGUCGUCGGUAAGAGAAGGUCUGGAUGCGAUUCAAGCGACCCAAGUCAGGACAUCACGUUGACAGUAAUCGUAAGAAUGAUGCCUCCGGAUAACGAUCUCGUCGAAAUCCUAGAUAUCGCGGGAUUACAGAAAAAUUCACUUAACUGGUAAUUGACGAACAAUUCACCCGUUUAUUUAUUUCUUCUCUCUUCUCGGUCUCGUCUAUUUUGUUUAUUUAUUUAUUUAUUUAUUUAACUAGCACUAAGCGUAAGUGUAGCGUAAGCGAGGCGUAAAAGACCGAGCACUAAUUUCAAGUUACGACUUUUCAAAUUUCACACGAGUUUUCAGCGUGGAUGCUUUAAGUUGCGUUCACAUCGAUCCGAUAGCAUCACAGUCUAGCGACCCGAUCCAGCGCUUUCGUUGCAGCAAGCGAUGCAAUCCAACGACAGCAUCGAAAAGCUGGGUUUACGUCAGUCCAGUCGCUGGUCCCAGCGAUUACGUUGCACAAUGGUUUGACUGGAAUUCGUCGAUGUCCACUUUGUUCUAGAUUUCUUCGAACCGUUGAAUGCGGUAGACUACGGUGGCAGUGGAUUCGCGUAAAAAUCGGAUAAAACAGUAGACGUACGCCUCAGCCAGCGUUGGAUACUGAGCCACAUCCAGAUUCCAGUAACGCUGGAACGUCGCAUUCUCGAUAGCGGUGGGAAUAAACGCUGGUUCGAAGAGCGGACUUUCGGUGCAGUUACUGGACUGGAUUGUUUAUUAAAAUGGUAACACGGUCGACGAAUCGAUCGAGGAUUUGAAAAAGUAGGGUCAGGCCCGCUAUGGUUCUACGAUGUUCGAGACGAACACAUUAUCGUUGUUAUUUAUUUAUUUAUUAGCUUGGAUAAAAUUCCCUUGGUGUAUACGAUGCAGAGGAAUGGGAGACAUAGACGAAACAUACGGUAUAAAAGUAUAAAACGGAAGAAAAAGUAAACGUAAAAUUUAGACGCAUGUAUCGACAAAGCUGGCGAACCAAGGACUGUUCAAAGCGUUAAGAAUAUUUUUAUAAUUAUGAAAAGUUCUGACUGGCGGUUCGUUCAUUUCAGAGGCGUCGUAUCACGAGAAUUUCCUUCUCAAGCAAUUUUCUUGUUGUUUCCUCGCCUUCGUCUCUAUCCAUCCUUGCGUCAAAAGCAAAGCAGAACUCGGCUUAACGACCUUUCGAAGACGUCGCGAGUAACGACUCGCCCGUAGCCGAAAAUGUAGUAGUCCAGAUCGAAGAAAAGAGUAACAAAAAGAAAAAAAAGGAAGCAAAAUAGCGAACGAUAAGAUAGACGUGAUCAUCGAUAGGGAGGCCAAUAGGGUUCCUCUAACGCAGCUUCGAGUAUCGUCUACGAACAGGAACGUGGUUUUCUUUCUUCUGGCCAAUAUAAGAAGCAGCGCGUCGGUUCGCGCGUACCUGACCGCUAAAGGCGCAUUUACACCAGGCGAACAAGGAUAUUCGCUCAUCCGGUUUAGCUAGCCGUAAACUCCUUGGGGACCAUAACAAUUUAGAUUUAAAUUACUUCAUUUGGAAUUUUUCAUUUACUUUAAUUUUAUUACCAGUAUGUACCUGAAUUAAAUUACCUAUAUAAUUACAUUAUAAUGAAUAUAAUGAUAAAUAUAAUUUAUAGCGUAAAUCACUACAGCCUAAUGUCUGUAUCUGAUUUAAGGGUUGAUAAUAUUAAUUGAAGGAUAUUAUAUAUGUUAUUAUUAUUAUGUACAGGAUGAGUCAGUAAAAUCUAUCGCCCGGAAAUAAUUCUUCAUCUAUUGACGUACCAUCGGGAAACGUUUAAAGCGAAAUUUUUUUAAUACUUCGUAUUUUUUUCGAUACUAAGGCAACCUUGAGUCUCUCGAACGACAAGAACGACGUAAACUCGAGAGAACUGUUUUUCAUGCAUUAAAUUUGACAAAUUAAAGUUAAGAUACCUCUGUUAGAUCGAUGGUUUUUCCAUAUAAAUAGGUCGAUACUUUUAUACAGAGAAUGUUCAGCUGGAUCGACUAAUGUUGUAAAUAAUAUACGA